GGGCGGUUAGCUCAGCGGUAGAGCGCUUCGUUCACACCGAAGAAGUCACAGGUUCAAAUCCUGUACCGCCCACCA
rnacentral:tRNA from 1 species